GCGCAAGAUGGACCAACGCCCGGCCUCCUCCAAACCCUAGCUGUCGCCUCCAGUGAUAGCUUUACCCACCGGGAUCCACAGCAACUCCUUCCAUUAUGAGCCGCAGACUCUCUCCAAGAUCCCCAACCCCAGCCCUGUCCCAGGUGCCGUCUCCUAACCCCACGCUGCCGCCUCUCCCUGUUUUCCGAGUCCUAACCCUAGUAGGAUGAGAGGAAGAAAACCGAGGUAUGCGUCUCCAUAUCUAUUAGGAUGUGCGUGCAGGGAGAUUGGUUAGAACAUGAAACAGUUGUUGAAGAAAACAAGUUCUUAGUAAGACCAAUCGUCUACCACAGAAUUUGUUCUCAGAGCAAAACAGAUCACUCAUGAAAUGAUCAGCUAGUGAGAUGGAAGCACACGAUACCAAUCACUUUUGCAACGCCAAGAGCAAAUCCAAUGGAGGAGUAGGCAAAGGACAUGAUAGCUGCAAGAACAGAGAGCCAUGCCAUGUCAUGGAAAUCUGGAAUCUGGGAGAACACUAUCUGAACAACCCCAAACAUCAGCAUGUAGAAGCUAUCUCCAUACGAGCACGGAGCUCUGCGUCCCUCUCUAUGGGUGGGGCGACCUGUAGCAGUCCGAGAGGAGGAAGGCGGAGACGAAGGUGACGAUGGCGAAGCAGAGCAUGGACACAGGGCCGGCGAUCCAACCCAGCUGGGC